rnacentral:lncRNA from 1 species
GAAACAGUUUGACGUUUGUUUGUUCCAACCAAGCAACAGCAGCUACAGUUUUCCUGGUGCUGCUGACAUCGUUCUGGACGUCGAGAUCUUUCGCUGUUGAAUAGAAUGAAGUAAAAAUGUUUAGCGGAUAUAGUAGUAAACUAAAAGUGAAAGCUCACCCAGCUGGUUGGUUGGUUGGUUGGUUGGUUGCUGUGGUCCUUUUUGGACUUUUUGUAAGAUCCAGCCCAGGAGCCAGGAAUGCUCUUUUGUAUGUAUGUAUAUAAGAAUAUGAUCAGAUCAGCUAUAUAUCCAAAUUAAUUAGCGUUUUGAAUGCUCUUCUGUAAUACUUCUUGACCAAUCCUUCCCUUCCUAUUCCAUUAACUACGUACUGACUCCAGAUUCGGCA